rnacentral:rRNA from 1 species
AUUUGUUUAACUAUGGCAAUAGAAAGUUAUUUUGGAUUAGCUGCAUAAAAUGGUUUUAUACUUAUGUGAGAGUUUAUUUUUGCUUAGUUUAUUAGCAGUUAGUUUUUUAUUAGAAUAAAUGUUUUUUAAGAAUACUUAAUAAUAAAGGGGAUAGGACACAGUGCCAGCACCCGCGGUUAAUCUGUUUUCUUUGCUUUCUGAUAGACUGAUUUUAUGUAUUUAAGAGUGGAAUUAGGUGAAAUUUUUCUAUCUAUAUAUUUAAUACUUAACUUAUAAUAAAUAAAUUUUAUGACAGGGAUUAGAUACCCCAUUAAUUUAUUAUUGUAAUUUGUCUUAGUUU